UAAGCAUAUCAAUAAGCGGAGGAAAAGAAACCAACAGGGAUUGCCCCAGUAACGGCGAGUGAAGCGGCAACAGCUCAAAUUUGAAAUCUGGCCUCGGCCCGAGUUGUAAUUUGCAGAGGAUGCUUUUGGCGCGGCGCCUCCCGAGUCCCCUGGAACGGGGCGCCACAGAGGGUGAGAGCCCCGUAUGGUAGGACGCCUAGCCUGUGUAAAGCUCCUUCGACGAGUCGAGUAGUUUGGGAAUGCUGCUCAAAAUGGGAGGUAAAUUCCUUCUAAAGCUAAAUACCGGCCAGAGACCGAUAGCGCACAAGUAGAGUGAUCGAAAGAUGAAAAGCACUUUGAAAAGAGGGUUAAACAGCACGUGAAAUUGUUGAAAGGGAAGCGCUCGUGACCAGACUUGCGCCGGGCCGAUCAUCCGGUGUUCUCACCGGUGCACUCGGCCCGGCUCAGGCCAGCAUCGGUUUUCGCGGGGGGAUAAAAGCGCCGGGAACGUGGCUCCUCCGGGAGUGUUAUAGCCCGGCGCACAAUACCCUCGCGGGGACCGAGGCCCGCGUUCCGCAAGGAUGCUGGCGUAAUGGUCACCGGCGACCCGUCUUGAAACACGGACCAAGGAGUCAAGGUUUUGCGCGAGUGUUUGGGUGUCAAACCCGCACGCGUAAUGAAAGUGAACGUAGGUGAGAGCUUCGGCGCAUCAUCGACCGAUCCUGAUGUUCUCGGAUGGAUUUGAGUAAGAGCGUAAUGCCUUGGACCCGAAAGAUGGUGAACUAUGCCUGGAUAGGGUGAAGCCAGAGGAAACUCUGGUGGAGGCUCGCAGCGGUUCUGACGUGCAAAUCGAUCGUCAAAUCAGGGCAUGGGGGCGAAAGACUAAUCGAACCAUCUAGUAGCUGGUUACCGCCGA
rnacentral:rRNA from 1 species